rnacentral:misc_RNA from 1 species
GCUGUUUGGUGUCAGAGUGGUGGUGGAUUCGAUGAGGAAGAGCGUGAGUUUGAACAAUCUGUCGCAGUAUGAGCAACCUCACGACGCCGCCGAUGUAAUAGCAAACAACAACAAGAACGACCUCGUUUCCGUCAAUAACAAAGACGAUGUUGCCGCUGGUUAUGCCUCUGCGGAUGAUGCUGUUCCAAACGCCCGAGGGAACCGCGAACGUGAGCGCAAGCGAGGUGUGCCUUGGACUGAGGAAGAACACAAGCUGUUUUUAAUUGGACUACAACAAGUAGGGAAGGGGGAUUGGAGAGGAAUUUCUAGGAACUUUGUUAAGACUCGCACCCCAACUCAGGUUGCUAGCCACGCUCAGAAGUACUUUCUUCGCCGGAGCAAUCUAAAUCGUCGUCGCCGUAGAUCUAGUCUUUUUGAUAUCACGACGGACACGGUCACGGCUGCUCCAAUGGUUGAAGAGCCGGUCCAGCGUCAAGAAAUUCCCUCUCAAUCCCAUUCCUUUACUCCAUCAACCUUACCUGAAAUUUCUAAAAACAACGUAAUCCCAAUAAUUCAAACUUUGCCACUUUCGUUUGGGCCAACACCAUUAGCCACUCCAACCAAGAAUCUAAUGGAAAAGUGUGGUCCUAG